AACAUUUCAGGAUGGGGAAACUCGAUCCAAACUCCUUCAAAGUUCUGUAAUAUUACUUCUGUUUCUUUUUUGUUGUUUCAGAUUUCCAGCAUCUGCAGAUUUUUUCCUGAUUUUCGGACCAUGUCCAGGUCUGGCCUGGUACAGAGAGGAAACUAAACCCACUGAGGGUUUCAUCACAGGACUUUAUCAAAGACGGCACAGAUGCCAUAUCAGAGGGGUGUUGACGAGACGGUCCUGGGAAAGUGAUGCUACUGAGCAUCACUGGUUAUGGAUACUGAAGACGUCCACAGAGUUCUUUCUGUGACUUGACUACACUUGCAUUUUCUAGCUAUUGUUCAACACGGAGACGCAGUGACUGAUCAGCUGAGGGAGAAUGCAAGGUGGGAAUCAGAAGGGGGACACUUACCCACGAGUGUCCUGAACCCAUGGAACUUCAUGGAAUGGCAACAGCUCUUCCUGUAACCACAAGAUACUGCAGAGAUACCACUCAGUAUGUCACAUCAGUCUCUCCUCCAUAGACUUUAUCUAUACUUCUUGCUAUCUCUAUAAAGGAGCCAACAUAAUCAAAGACCUACCUGACCUAGACAUUCUCUCUUCUCCCUCUCCCAUCAGGCAGAAGAUACAAAAGCCUGAAAGCACAUUACACCAGGCUCAAGAAUAACUGUUACUCACCCUUUAUAAGAGUAUUGAGUGGUUCCUUGGUUUGAUAACAUGGGCUCACCUUCCAGGGAGUCUCAAAGAACUAUAUGAAUUAUGAAAUAUUUAUUCAAAUACUCCCUUUGCUUAUUACUCACAUACCUCUUCUGAGCCAAGAUCCCUUCUCAUUCCUCCACUGAUGCUAACCUGUAGGAUUAGAGCUUACCACCACCUGCCCUGUCCCUUCCCGUCCCUAAAUGUCCCAUUUAGCCUGUCUUCCCAAAAUAUUAUUCCUGGAGGGUUUCUACUUGGUAUCCUUGCAGCUUCAUAUCUAUAUGGUUCUUAAAUCAAAUUCCAUCUGUUUGUGCCACCUUUGUUAUGGAUGACCUUAUUUUGGGAAGUGCCAACUUUUCCCUUGUGUGAGUCUAGUUGCUGGUGAACCUCUGUGCUCACCCUCCCUGUUUUGCAUUCCCCAUUUCACCAAUAGCACCUUUCCCUUUCACCUUACCUCCCUACCUAGUCUUGCUGCUUGAAACUGUCUGCCCACUCGGCCACUCAACGAUUUUACCCAGGAGGGAAUGAUGGCGAUGAGGAGCAAAUAAGAGAGAAGCCCACUCAAAACACUCAAAUUUCUCAUCUUGUGUUAUCGUUUCCCCAGCGCUAUCUCGGUUCUCAGUGGCAGAACCUGGUACUUCCCUGGGGUCAGUGAACCUCACCUCCCAGCUGGAGACUUUGAAGUCCUUGGGACCCAAUACAGAAUUCAACAAUUUCAGAUAACCAUCCUGUCCUGUUGUGACUGAACUUGUUGAUGCGAUCUGAAGAGCAAUCAGAGUUCCAGAUCAAAGCCCGAAGAUUGAUAAGAGGUCCGGAGGUCAAUUGGAGGUCUGGAUCAAAGCCCGAAGGCCAAUUGGGAGGACCAGACGUUGAGGCCUGAUGCCCUGAGCCCUGAAUCUGUAAACCACUGUGAGUCUGCUGAGGAAGUUGGGGCCCAGUCUCUGCAAAUCCAUGUCCUCUGGAGGUUGGAGGCUGAAGACAGCCCGUCCUGGGUGAUAUCCUGACUUGUACUGAAGUUGGGAAUAUUAAAUGGUCAACAUAUGCACUGUCAGGGCAGAUGGUGUUUUGUGAGAACUCUAUUGGUGAGGAGAGUUCAUGUUAGCAGGGCAUACCGAAUCAGGAGUUAGGAAAGAGGAUGACCUAUCCCAGAAAGAAACAAGACAACAACCAGCAGACCAGUUUAAAAGGUCAUUUAUAAAGAUCACGAAGAGCAAGGGUCCCAGAACAGAUCCCUGAGGCACUCCACUGGUCACUGACCUCCAUGCAGAAUAUGACCCGUCUACA